rnacentral:lncRNA from 1 species
AUUUCUCUCGAUAAAAUGCGUCCUUAAUGAUCGCGUCGCGUCUGACGCGAAAUAUCAGUUCAUCAUUCUCGUCUCCGUGCGAGAUUCACGUAAACAUCACUUCUUGGCGAACUGCAGUCGCAAUAACGGCAAGCCUCCUUACAAACGAAAUUUACGCAAUUUAAUAUCACGCGAUAACUGUAGCGUAAUAACGUCUUAAGUGUAACGUCUUAACUGCAGGGCGCGCGUACGCGGGGAAUUCAUCCGACGUUCUGGCUCACGGAAACAAAAGGUUUUUGGCACGCCUACGCCAAAGGACGCCAGCUUUUCUGCCUCUUGGCUCCGAAUGCGGGCGGAUGCAUUCUAUUAACGUAAUCGCAGCCUCACGCUCGUGCAACAGUGUAUGCUGUACAUGCGUCUUUAUUCGUGCCAGGGCUCUCGACGGUGUUAACGUACCCGUCGAACGCGAACAACAUCAUGUGCAAUGGCCAAAGACGCAUUGCCACGAUGAAGAUCCGGCGAAUAGCUUGCGGCGGGUAUUUUCGCAGCGUAUUUCCGCUUAACUCGGAACAAUCGUCUGCGGUAGUCGAUUGUUGCAUUACCGAAUUCACGCGCGAUUCAUUUGAUUUUCGAAAUUGUCCGAAAGAACUCGCGUGAAUCUGCCGCGCGAGCGGGUAGCUAGGGAGUGCGUAAUUGACUCGCAUCGCGGCGGAGGGCGCGAGGACGGCUUCGCGGAAGUGCGGCAAGGGUAAGUCGGUGAUAUAGAAUGGGGGUGGGUAGGAGACGGAGACGGUUGGCGAAGGUUGUAUAUCGCGGAUUUACAGACAGGGCGGCAGACUGCCGGGCGGCUGCGAAUACUAAAUUAUUUAUCGUCUUGUCUAUCCGUACGUUAGAUACUUACCGACACGUGUUGCAUGUCUAUAGAUGUUUGUCUUUGCGAUUCCCCUGUAUCAGAAGCACCCUCGGCGCGGUCACGUACACCGCCGCGCUGCAGUUUAUCAUUACGAGGCUACGACAAAUAAAUAACGAGGUAUCGUAGUCGACAGCGUGGGCCAAACUCGUCUUUCUCGGAAGAUAUGAUGGGCAUAUGUGUGUACGAUUCUCAGUGCGACCGCAGUAAUGAGAGACUGUUCAUGAUAGAAAGCUGCUUCAAGGGGAACUGUGCAUUAAACGCAAAGUUUACUGUCAUCGAGAUGAUAAUUUGAUGCGGAACUUUGUGCGGAGAGAAAUGUGAGUACACGAGAUUACCGUGAGAACUGAUGUUAUACGAGAACUCGUAAGUCGUAAGUAGUAAUGGAUCGCAAUUUGGGGUAUGGAAAUGUUGUUAAGAUGAAUGAGAAAUAAUAAGGCGUAAUAGGAAAGUAGCCGGCUAACAAGAUUACUGCUUUCCCUUAAGUGAUGAAGGUUGACUCACCUUCGUUACCGGGAAGACAGACGCUGUACUCUGAAAUUAGCAUUUCAAUACUUUCAUAAUUUGGAUCUACUUUCAGAGAUCAUUAUCGUUUUUCACCCUACGGUAGAAUCGAAAAGUCCAUGUAUUUUUAUCGCUAUUCUUCACACGAAUACUAUCAGUAACUUUUUUCCAAUAUCUCCUUUUUAGAUUAAUUUUGUCCAAAGAAUUUUAAAAAAUUAACGGGUUUUCAAGAUAAUCUCUUUUAAGAUGUUAUCGGAUUUCUCUCUGCAUAUCUUGUAUAUUGCAUAUUGAAAAGAGAUAAUUAAAACUAUCGGAGCUUUCUCCGUGGAUGCUACUAUAAUUCGUUGGAGUGCGAUGCCUCGAAGUUUAGCACGGAAGGAUCGUACAUAUCGAGAAUGAACGAACGUUGACCCACAUAAAUUUUCGGUUACUACGGCUUGUCGGCCGAAAAAAUGCGCUGACUUUGCGUCUCGCCGUUCCAUCCUUCGAGGGACCAAAAUAAAUGCAUGAACUACGGAAAGUUGCGGCAGCGAAUGGAAAUCGCGGCAAGAAGUGACCAUGCAGUAUUAAUCAUUUUUGCCCAUGUUGAGUAUUUCUGUCCAGUUUGUCGAUUUGUUUUAUGUACCUCACCAAUGUUGACCGACAUUUACUCAUGAGAAUUACAGAAUCCUAAUUUCUUUCAGCGAUAUUUUUUCAUCUCGUCAAUUUGUUACGAGCUGAAAACUAUCGCAAAUGUCAACUUCCGACGGUGCGCAUUCGCUAUUAAAAGAACAUUGCGAGUACUAAAGUAAGAUUCUUGAAGCGAAAGAUUUUUUUCUGGCGUUGCGACUUCUUGCCGUCGAACUUUGCAGGAAAUCUCAAUGCCAUAGCUCUUGUGGCGCAGUGUAAUCUGAAACUCUUAAUGAGGCGUAGAGGUAAUACGUGGAGCGGGAAAUGCACGGGCAUUAUCAAAAUAAACCAUUAACUACCACGAAAGUUUAAGGCUCGGAUUGAAAUUUUGCUCCCCAAUGAAUCGAGAUAAUUGGAUACUUACCGGAAAUUACGUAUAUAAAUAACCGUUUGUAAAAUCUGAGACUCGGUUUUUCGAACCGCGUAACCUGCAGCUGAAGGAACAACGAAACGCGUUUCCGUCUAUGCUUUUUUGUGAAAGCAGAGAGGAAUUUAUUUCGAGUUACUUUUUCGAGAUGCAAUUUACGAGCAUUACCAGUGUCCGCCAACUUCCGAAUUUCCUAAUGCAGUUAAUCCGUCCACGUUAUAAUACGACGGCGAUGGCUCGCCCUCGCUGCUUCCCCUAAUUAGCGGUUCGUUUCCGGUGCACAGCAUUGUUUGCGCUAACUACGUUCAAGGCGCGCAAGAUUAUAAGUGAGCUUCAGGGGAACAGGAGUAAGCGGAAACAAUGGAAGGACUCAAGAAGUAGAUAAAUAAUAAACUCCGCUCACCAUUUCUCUCUUCUUACAUAGACGAGAGACCAUCUUCUGUCGCAUGGAACAAUACAUCGAAGACAAGUCAGCGCGAAGAGAGGAAUGGAGAGAUUCGAAAUGGCGAAUUAAGCGCAGAGAUAAGCCUGUUUUAUUAACUGGCCCCAAAGGAGUCUUGUUUAAAGAGUUGAUUCAUACCCUUCCUGUUUUAUAUCUACUAAUGCGACGUUACUUGCACGCACGAUCAUUCUUUUAAUGGGGUGUCGCGGAUAUUCGUUAGGAUAAAGCAAUCAUUGAAGGUACUUCCGAAGAAAUACAGUAAACUUAUCGAUGAUUUGUCGUAACUUUUUAAUGGGAAAACACGGAUAUAAGAGAGAGAGAGAGAGAAGGAGAAAGAAACAGAUUUGUAAAACAGAUGUGGAAAAUUGAGAAAAUAUGAACAAUAUAAUCAAAUUUGUUAACAAAUGUCAAGAAACGUUAUAGCUAUUUAAUAAAAUGUUCUAUCUAAAAUUCUAUCUAAUAUAAUUAUUCCGGAAUUGUCUUCAAUCGUGCGUACAACGCAUUGCGAUGCAUUUAUUAUAUGAAAAGCCUCGAAGCAACAAUCUAUAUGAUAGUAUUGGGAAACGAGCAACUGGAGUACAUAAUAUCAAUACGUCAUGAAUGCUUUAUCAUAUAGCGCUAAUAAAAUUUGUAAAAGUGCUCGUUUUAAAUGCCAUUUGAUAGUCUUGUUUCCUGUUAUUUUCCAAUGUUUUCAAAAUUGUUAUAUUUUACCUGAUUUACACAAUGAUAAUCUAUUUAUUUAAAAAAUAGUGCAAUAUGCGCCAAAACAGCUAGUCGUAUUUUUUUAACAUGACUGCCGUGGUAAUAAAUACAGGUAAUGAAUACAUUCAAACCCAGUAAUAUAUGUAUAUGUGUGUAUAUACGUAUGUAUAUAGGUAUAUAACAGGAAUAUCGGCGUACAAAUUGACACUUUUGCGUAACGACCGCGUGUUCGUUGCAUCGCGCUGCGUCCGAUUUUCCGUGGGUUUUUCAUAACGACCAUUAAAUUGCAUUACCGGGCAAAAUAUCAUUUCUCCGCGGCAGAAAUUUCGAGAUUAAAGCAGAGCGUUCCGUGGCCAGAAAUUAGAUUCUCUCACGGCGAUUGUUUCCCGCAGGCCGUUACGUACAGCCGAGAUAUUAUCUCCGCCCCUAAACUCCCCAUUUGCAUGGUGACUCUCGAGUACCGCAAUAAUACAUUCCCCGUUCCGUGCGUUCUAAAGUCACUGUCCGCGAUGAUCGUGCCGCUCCAACGACUUUUUAACAUCAUUACCGCAUAUUUCAUUAACGUGCCGACGCAAGACGGCGUUACAUGACGUUAACUGUAAAAUCUAAGAAACGCGGUCACGCGCAACUCUAUAAUGCGCGCGGCUUCGUAACGCCAACAACUUCGCCGCAGGAAUAACGAAAUAUUUUCCUCGAAAAUAAUCCAUUCCCUUUACGACUCCUAAUAAAUCUCGGUUCCAUCACCGCGCGCGCACAAAAAAAAAGAAAGAAACCUGCAGCAAACACGCUGUCACGGAACAGUUUCGCCCUCUUCCAUCCGCCGUGUCGAGCCCCAUAGUAUAUGGCUUCGCACGUAUCGUUACACCGUGUAAUAAUAACCGCGUAAAAAUAAUAUGGAUCUCCCGAGAGUCCGCCGCGCGGCAAUAAAACAUCGCUGCAUUAGGGUUGCGAGCGAGGUGUAAACUCCUCGUUCGAGCGGCCCGCGCGUGGAAAAUGGCCUGUAGGACCUCGUCGAGGGAUUUUAAGGGGGCGGCGAACGCGAGUUGAAGAGGGUUCGGGGAGGAGAAGGAGGAGAUGUCGGCAACGAUGGUGGGUUCGAACGGACGUUGAAGAAGGGGGCGCGGAGGUUAAUGGGUGUACAUAACGAGGGCCUACAUUAUGCAAAUAGCCGUGGAUGGCCACCAGCACGUCGACUUAUAUCUUAUCACUUUGACUGCCCGGUCAUUCAUAUGAAUAUCGCACCCCCGAGAGAGGGCGAGAAAGGGAAAAGCAGGGGGUGAGAGACAAUGGGUGCACCGAGCUUAGUAGCGCUAGGAACGGUUUUAGGUGCGAAGUAAAACGAGGGAACGAACAGUCCUAUUUUUCUACGUGGCAUGGUGGUUGCUCCGCGCGCCUCUGACCGCUCGAGUUAAAUUAGGUAUAUUUCGGUCCCCGAUGAAGCGAUUUUCACGUGACGGUUUUAUGUCAGAGAGCGCGUACGGACGUUUUCCAAAAUGAGCACGGAUGAGGCACAAUGCGUGUCAUUCCGCCAGAUUCGCUCGGUAGAAUUUGUCGGGAAUGCCCGUGAACAGUAAUGGGAGGCCCUCAUGUUCGCGUAACGUUGUGAGGUGAGAGAUGCUGGAUAGAGAGUGACUGUGUGGAAAGUAUCGCGCAAACGUGACGAAGUCCGAGCUCGCGUGUGAUUUCGCACGCGGGCGAGCUACGGGUUCGGGCUAUCUUACAUAUUAUGCUGUGCGGCAAGCCGAGAUCGUUCGACCAAGGACCGAUAUUUCUGCAUGCAACGUCGGCUUCGAUGGUACCACUUGUGUAUUAACACAGCGAUAUUCACCAGCGUUAAAUUAUAUGUGCACACGCGACACAGAACACGGUUCGAACGUUGUUAAACUACCGUCGCUCUAGCAGUUGCCAAAAGUCCCGAAAAAAUUAUCCGGUACGGUGUAAUUUAUGCAGGUUAUAUAAGACUGCGCGAUUAAUCGUUUCGAUUAAUCGUUACACUGCGUAUUGAUGUACGGUAUAGGUUUUGUACAGAGUCACGUGCGUGUGUGAUUUAAUAUUAUUAUUCAGCUUUGAAUAAUCAGAUUAUGCUCAUUAACAAUACGCGAACUGGGGCGCAUAUGUGCAUGCGGUGUGUGCAAGUAAUUACUCCUUCACGUAAAGUUGGUGUACCAGAGUAAAAAGGUUCAAGCAUGGUUAUAAUGGAAAAACGAAAGCAUAUCUGGACACGCGCGCGUUGCGUACUCUUACUUGUGUUUCUGAAGCAAGCCCUGCGAGGACGUGAUGACAUAUUCAAAGUGGAAAUGUAGACAUCAACGGUACCAGAAAAAUAUGUGUACUUGUGCAAUACAUGUAUUUGUUUUUAAGGAAACGUCGAGUAGUGUGCACAGCAAUAUUCGUGGUAUUUAAUAUCAAAUCGAUAAAAGUUGUGUUGCACCCCUUGAAAUUUUAAAAUGUCCCUGCACUUAUCCUUCCCUUCAGUCUUCCUCACGAGCACAGGGUUAACACUUCAUUUAUAUCAACCAGAUUCGCGCGAUAUUGCAGAUCUUGCACACCUUGCACGCGGAUCGCGCCUUGUCACGCCAUGCGAGCAACGCAGAGCCAGUCGGAAUCAGUCUUAUCGAGUCUUUGCUUGGCGAUACCGCGCGAACAGUUGCCGGUUGCGGCAAAUUACCGUCGAAACACCGGUAUUAAGUCUCGUAAACUCGCUUCGAAGAAAUUAACCCCCGGCUUUUCGUUGUGCACACGAAACGCUAUUUCUGUUUCUUUUUACGUUGCCCGAUUAGUUCCCGGAGCGGAAAAGAGCGAGACGCAGCUUCACGUCAGAUGCAUACGUGUGAAAUAAGUAAAUAACAUACGUACGCAUGCGACUUCUCUCGCAGUUCUUGUGCGAUAAAAGCACGCGCGGUUCUUAGCUUAAGCGAGUAGAAAAUUAAUUUGGCUCUCUAUUAAUACGUACGAGAUGGGUCUGUGUUGACUCACAUCACUUCUCCUAAUUCCGACGUGACACGAAAACUCGCGAGCGGAGCGAGUCGUAUCGAAAUUUCUUGUCGGCAAAGUAAAUACGGAUAAAACAAUGCAUCAGUAACGAUGACAAUGAAUCGCGGUCUAACAAUAAGUUAAAGUAAACCCCGCGACAUGAAACAUCGCGUAAUAAGCGCCGGAUACGCGCAGUUUCGUUGAACGAAGCGCGGCGAGAGAAAAUCCUGAUACGCGAGCACGCUCGUUAUUAUUCAUCUUAAUUGAAACACGAAUUAAAUUCAACAUCUUCACGCGCGGAUCCGUUUUCAUCAUAAAUUUAAAGUGAAGUUUAGUAGCUAAUAUACUCUCCUCUCUUUCUCUCUUUCUCUCGGAGUUGGUCUGGCCGGAAGUUUGACGAGUCCGAUACGCGCGCGUGAGGGUAGCGAGCGUAUCUACCUUUGGUCCAGAUUAUUCUAGAUACAGCAGACUGAAUUUUCAAGGAAGGAAACCACCUGUUAAAACUCGUUACCUCGCACGAGCUCGGAAGAUGAGGCACCUACAUCUCUCGCACAAAUUGCAAAAAGAAAGUGUAGUCGGAUUUCCACGUGAAAUUCCAUCCUCACAGGCAUGCUCUCGGCGUCAUUCCUCUUGAUAAAUUCAAUCGCGAUGUCCGUUUGACUUGUGUAUGGGAGCAUCUGCGAAACAGUUAAGAUAUUAUCGUCGCGCGAUCACGUUUUUCCGACGAGGGAGAAAACGCGAUCACGGCGGAAGGGUAGUUGCUGGUUGAACGGCCCCGGCAACGUGGCACCCACGAUUAUAAUGUAUUGCAAUAUGAUAUUAUGCAGCACUCAUGAGUAUGACAGGGUAUUAUCCUCACGCAGCGCGCAAGAUUUCCAUAUUGCGGCCAACGUGGUAUUACGCGAAAUCGGCCGCAUAAUUACGAAUUUAUCAUUAAACAUCAUUGACCACCGUGCCGUGAAUAUAAAUGCACGCUGCAUCUCAAUAUCAAGACUUCUCUCAACUGUGCGGAAUUAAUCCUCCGCAUUGCAUGAGAUUUAUUUCAUAAUGCGUAUGCGUGCGAAACGAGAGAUAGAUAGAUUGUUAUUUAAAAAGUUAUUGAUAUUUGUGAAUAGAAAAUAACAUUAUGAUUUGUUGCUGUUUAUAUCGACUCUCGCAUUAAUCGCAUUAAAUCUUUAAUAGCAAACAUCGCCGCUGCUCCCGAUUAAUAAACUUGCGAAAUAUUUUUCGCGCAUGUUUGCCUAUAUAUAAAUAAUAAUUAUUCAGAUAAUAUUAUUAAUAAUUUCACACACAGUAAAUUGACAAUGCGCUACGAGUCUGAAUUAUAACGUUAUCGAUGUAAUUGUCAAUUGAAAUCAGAACAGAACGGGAACGGAAAUGUAUUUAUCGAUUCUUGGAUAGGAUAGUCAAGGAUACUUUGUGCAGUUAUAGGGACACAAAUACGAAUAAAAAAGAGAGAAUACGAAUGCAGUUUUCAACCAUCAAUCAAAUCUUGCUUAUCUGCGACUCAAUCUCUUCCGCGGAUUGUCACAGUCGUGGCGUUAAGGAAAUCUUGGAGUGACUAUCGAACUCCGACGCGAAAGCACCAUUAUUUAAAUAAAACUAAAAAAAUCAGCUCACGAGGAGAUCGCAUCUGGUUUUAUUUAUUCUAUAUGCAAUCUUCAAGUAGAUCGUUUCUGGCUUUAUUUCUUCUGACAAUCGAUAUAUGUAAAUCUCGUACACAUGGAAGAGACAAAGAAAAGAUGAGUGUGUGUCUAUCCUUGUCGAGUGAAUAUAUUGCAGCUCUAUCUUUCGCGACAUCAAGCAAUUAAUCUUGUGCUGUGUUUUAUUCUUGACCACGAUUUCCUACACAUACACAUGCACAAAAUUUUCAUGAACAUUUUUUGUUUAUAUUACGCUUCUAAAUUUCCUUUUUAAAGCUUCUUUAUAUUCCUUUAUUUUGUCCUGAAGUCCAACCAUUCCAAUUUUAUGCGUACAAACUGCAAAAUUUUUGUAUUAAGUAAAUUAUCAUACGAUCAGGCUACAAGUCAAUAACAAAAUUAUAAUUUUCGAACUUUUCUUAGUUUCUUAACGAAAAAGUCGAAUACUCUUCGAUUUAUUUCUGUAUAUACUUUAAUCGUGGAAAAGGAUUUAUCAUUCUGUACAAUAAAAAGAAAGGUGAGAAUUAAAAUUCGUCAAUUCCAUCGGUAAAACAGACGACCCCAGGAUCCCCUUAAGAAUAAGUGCGGCGCGGGCGGCGCGGGCGCGAGGCGGAAAAUGAAUUUCUGCAUUUCAAAUCGCUCGUUCCCGAUGUCUUUAUUGUGCAGCGUUCUCAAGUUAUAUUGCGGUCGAGCCGUAAGUUCACAGGUUAACAAUAAAGCUGAACCUCAGGCGGCAAUGACAGGGUCACUGGGUGAUUUAUCGAACUCCUUCCGUCACCAGGUCGUUAAUCUUCCUACGCGCUUUGUAGUCAUCAGCGUGCAUGAAGAUGUGUAUUUCGGGCUCGGUACACACUACACACUCUACAAACCGAUUUAACGACUCGACCGGAUAGGAUAGGACAGAAAAAAAUUAAUCCCCGUUGCACGACAUCGCGCAAUCUAGAAUUAUUUCAGUCGCGCGACUUCCUAUCGACACCAGAUUCAAAUCUCUUUACUCCUUAUUUUACCAAAAAAACUGAUACUGAUUAUACAUAUCUCAGGGUUUAUAUACAAUACAUAUAUAAUGUAUAUAUGUCCUGUGGUUUAAUAAUUUCUCGAACAAUAGUUUAUUAGAACUAUCGUACAUAAUUACAAAUGUACUGUAACAUAUUACGGACAUUGGAAUUACUGGUAGAAUAAUUAUUACAACGAUAAUAUUCGAUGAAAAAUAAAAUAAUGCAGAAUACAAUGUAAAUUGAUAAUACAAAUCGAUAAAAAAAUAUGUAGAUAGGAGAAAAUGCAUAAAAUCUAAAAUGUAUAUUUAAAUAAUUGUGAUGGUCCAAUAAAAAAAGAUAUUCGAAUAUCCGGAUUGAAAUUGUAAAUUUUAGAUUCAUAUCCAGAAUCCAUAUCCAGGCAUAAUAAAAUAUUAAAAUUAUCAUGCAUAGAUACAUAACUACUGUGCCAGCCAUGGUACUUUCUCUUUUUGUAAUCUUUACGUAAUCUUCGUAUCAUUUUAUAAAGCAACUCAAGAAUUGAAAAAGGCUGAAACUUGUCGCCAAUUUCUUAUGUUCGGCGUUUGCCCGGCCAGAAUCCAUUGGUUAAAUUAAAAUUUAACUACUUCAGAGUACCUAGUGAAUAGCGACGGCGUAUUGGAAUUGUUCGUACUACCACAUAUAUACAUUCAAAUCUAAUACUGAGUACGCUCUCUGAAAAUUUAAAAAGCGGCGCGGUCGUGCGGAUUAUUAAUUUCUUACUCACACUAUGAAUAUUGUAAUGAAAGCCAAAUGUGAAUUAAAGCCGAUCUGUGUAGGCGUGACCAGCCGCAUCGCCUUACCGCGGCGGCUUUAAUACCUGAGUUUUACGUGAAUAAUUCGCACUUUUUAUUUCGUAUUAAACUGCAAUCUACUCACCACUAUGCCCGCGUUGUCAAUCCUGGAAGCAUAAAUUUAAUAAUUUCGUCUUUUUGUAACCAUGUAAAGUGCUGGCCUCAUUAAUUUCGCCUAAUUAAUUAUUUUAUCAUGCGUCGCCGCUACGAGAAUAUGAGACUUUAUAAAGCCAUGUGUUCUACUCUUACGAGAUCAAGUACACACGUUUUACGCGGAAAGACUUUCAAGGGAGACAGUCUGCAACGAUGUGUUUGUUUCUGAAUAGAUCUAUAUCUUCAUAAGUGGAUCUUUGACGAGAAUUAUGGGUCUGAUUAAUUCAAAGGGGAACAUGUCUCACUUCAUUGAGUUAAAAUCGAUGUAAUGCAUAGAAUAUCUAUUGCAGUAGUUAACGUAGUUAGUACGCUUUAAUAAUUAAGUGAUUCUAAUGAGAUCUGAUAGGACAACCCAUCUUUUAAUAUUUGACAAGUGUAAUAUGUAUCUAUCGUUGCGAUAUUAAAUAUUGAUCAUGUGCUAUGCUACUUGUCGCAAUUUAUGAUUCAUGCAAACACUUUUACUACGGGUUUCACCAAGUGAUUUAUAGAUUUAUUGCGGCGAUGUUGUAGAGGCAAAUAAACUGCUUGCCCGCACAUUUCUUUUUGCAUGUUGGACAUAAUGGCGGACUUUAAUAAUUGCGUAAACCUGGUAUAAUUGGCAACACGAUACCUUUGCGCGGCAGGAAAGUUUGCGACACUUUAUAUAAAACACACAAACGCAGAGGGGUAAUUAUAUUCGAGACUUAUUGCCGGCCAGUAAGUUUCCUAUGACGCUCUAUAAACGUUCUUGCGAGAUUUAUUUAUAGAAGGAAAACGCGGUAAAAUUAGUUCUUUUAUUGAAUAAUAGCAAAUAAUUUAUUCAUAUUUUGUAAAUUUGGACAAUAUUGCGAUACGGUUAGAAAAGUAAAUUAGUGAAAUCUCAAAUUAAAAGAUGAUAGUUUUGCUGCAUCCAUUUUUCAUAACAUUAUUGUAUCGUUUUAUUAUAUAUUGUCAUUAUAUAUUGCCAUUUGGUAGACGAUACGUACCUAUAUAAAGUCUCUACAUAAAAUGUAUUGAACAAGCAAUUUUGCACUAUAAUAAGACUGAUCCGUAUGAGACUUGUCUAUCAACUUGCUGACAACAUUUGUUCCUAUAGAUCUCAAGAUUUUUUUUCGAUCAGCAGGUUGAUGACACUCGUACAACGUAGCCGUUAUCUCUCAUGUAGUUGCAGAAUCAACGACGCUUGUUAAAUUAAUUGGAUUAGAGACGGUGACUGUAGUUAUUGAAGGAUAAUGAUAGAUUUUCCCUCGGUAAAAGGCCACCAACUGAGUUAUAUUCGGGCGUUGUAUUUACCGGACCUAGAGAGUAGCGGGCCACUCCAUCACUUAGGGUACUCUCCCGGUGGAAUUUCGCGGACUCCUGAGAUCUUGUUUCAUGCAAAAAGUAAACUUCCCACCGGCUACGCUCUGGUAACACGCUUCAAAUGCUCCGCCGUAUAACGUGCACGCGCAAUCUAGGUCUUAUCGAUCUUUCGGUAGACGGAAAAAAUUGUUUUCACCUCUGCGACUCUUGACUUUUUCUUGCGAAAUUUCUCGCAGUCACCGAUUACGUCGGAUUCGCAAAGAGGAGUAUGCGUUAUUUCAUUUUUCCCGCAAUCGAUUGUUAAUAUUUCAGUUCAGGUAUCGUGAGUUUAUUGAGCGACUACUGACCGAGUGAUGAGUGGCAUCGUAGAUUAGGAUGCUCCACGUCGCUAUUAAUACAAGCCAUCCACCGUUCCUCGCAGGGAAAGUUAAUUACUGUCAUCGAGAUAACUCUCGUUACAUUGAUUCAUUGCGGCUUUCGUUAAAUGCCUGGAGUAUUAGGGAAUUACUUAAUGGUAGGGUGAAUGAAAAUUUAAAGUGCUUUUUCGAAAGUGCUUUUUCAAAGAAUCGUUAGAGUAAGGAAAUUUAAUAAUAAUGCGAAUAUUAUUAUAACGAAUAUAUUACGUAUUUUAUAGUGUAAACAUUUCUAAAAAUGAGUUGAUAUAUAUAUAUCAAUUAUUUUCGGCUGAUGUUUCAUAUGUAGAUAUUUUAAUUUUUGCUGUCGAGCAAAUUGAAUAUUUGAUGCAACGUUAACUUCAACUUUGGAAAGAUUGCGUGUAUCCUUGAUGCUCAGCAGGGCAUCGGGUCAGUAACUGUGAAUCAAUCCUAAGGUGGCUGGCAGCCAUUAACUAGCAUCGUUUCGCGCUCGUAUCUUCUAAAGCAAUCUCGUAUCGUUUUACAGUGAACUGGCCAUAUAAGCGAACUAGUUUGAAUUUGUUGCUAUCCCGUAUAUUACCUUUUGCAAUUUCAAAACACAAUAUCACUUAAAGUCAGACGGCAAGCACUGUCAGUAAUAAAUAACUCGUCCGAUUUUAUUAACAUUGUAAAACAUUAGCGGACAAAGUAAAAUGUACUAACGUCUGUUGGUAUCUGAAUAUCUAAUUAAACAAAUGUCUCAUUAAGGGCAAUUAGCGUUAUUUCCGAAUUUGCACGAGUAUUUUCGAGAACAUGCUAUCGCAAUAGAUCGCCGGAAAAAAAAUUUCAGCAAGGGAUACGUGCAUGCACAGCAGGAAACGUGCCGAAAACGCUUAUCCCGGCGUAGACUAAGCGCAGUGACAAAAAAGCCUGCAAAGAGAAGCGAGCA